ACUAAAGGUCGAGUACAUUUAGACUGUCAAAAAUAUUAUAUAUUUACCGAUAUGUGCCGUGCGAGUCAUUUGGGAUAAUCUGUCGAUGCUUACAUAUUACAAUAAAUAGUAAUGUAUUUCACUAAAGUAUUCAUCUUCUGUGGACUCUAUCUCUGUGCGUGGACGCAUGAUAACAAAACUGUGGAUGAGAAUCCUUCCGUAGACGACACAAUAAAUAAGCUAUUAGACCAUGCUAAAUAUGAUCUUCAAGAUGCAUGAAUUUCGAUGCUACUGAAAGAACUCAAAGAUGCCAGAGCUUUCGAAAAGAAUGGUGAGCACGUGUCUACCCCUCUUGAAAUAACAAGCAUCUACACACGUUGGUGACGCAAGACGUGUCCUGCUGGUGCAUCCAUAGUUUAUGAAGGGUUUGCAGCUGGGGGAAUGUACACUGCUCCUGGGGCACCUGUAAAUUAUUUAUGUCUUCCAAAAAGUCCAGGCUGGGAUAAUCAGAUAAACAACCCAAAGCACAGUGGCCUGAUAUAUGGAGCAGAAUAUAAAAGCCACGAAAGCAUGUUUAAAGGACUUACCGACCAUGAUGUUCCCUGCGCAGUUUGUCAAGUCCCCAGAAGCAGUGUUGUGAUGGUACCCGGGAAAAAUACCUGUUUCAAAAACUUUGUUAAAGAAUACAACGGUUAUCUUAUGGCUGGAUAUCCUACCCAUAAUGCAGCUUCCGAAUAUGUUUGUGUUGAUGGUGAAGCUGAACCAGCCAGCCAAUCUCUUGUUCAAAAUCACAAUGGAAAAUUGUUUUACUUUGUUCGAGCUAAAUGUGGCUCACUGAAAUGUCCUCCAUAUAAAGAAGGUGACGACCUUACAUGUGUUGUGUGUUCUUAUUCACCUUGACAGUUUUUUGUUUUGUUUUUUGUUCUUAAUAUUUCUGAUUUUUGUUUAAGGUAGACCACUGCUAAUGCAUUACCUCCACUUUGAAGGGUAUUAUAAUAGGCUAGAAUCACUUAUCAACUGCAUUGAAACUGCAUUGAAACUUAUUUAUUUAUUUAUUUAUUUAUUUAUUUAUAUGUCCCUCUCAGAUCCCUUACGUAAGAAAAGGUGAUUGUUUUAAAUUACAUAAUUAUUGUAGGUAUUUAUUAACUAUAUAAUGCCAAAUUUAAAAGCAAAUUAUAAAAAAGGAUACCGUUUAUUUUCAAAGUUUAAUAGCAACUACAUGGUUAAAGAAUUUUGUUUUGCAAGACCAACCAAAAUACAUUUUAAGAAAAUUAAGCAAAACUUAGAAACAGCCCCUCGUUUUUGUAAAUGUUAGGGAUAUUUUGAAUGAGGCUUUUUAUAUAGUAAAUGGUCAAAUAAGUUUUUAAAGUGGAUGGGAUAGGGUACCAUUUAUACAUUCUAAAAACAUUUUGUUGAGAAACAAUUGUUUUGCUGUUGUAAUUCGUUGCCUGGAUGUUAUUAUUCUUUCUAAACAAUGAGCAA